rnacentral:lncRNA from 1 species
AGGGGGCAGGGGAGGUAAGACGAACCACUGGCGAAUGGAGAGAGAGAGGGAGGGAGGGAGCACAGGAACUGUGUGAAUUUCGUGUACAAGGUGUGUUUGGACCAGGGGGGCCCCCCAGGGGGACGCGGGUAGGUCGUGUGUCGUCUUGUCCUGGCAGCAGCAUAUCAGAAGGGGAAAACUGAAGUGUAUUAAAGAUUAUACCAAGGUGACUUCUAAGUAUUUGGCGUGAGUGAGUGAGUGCGCAGCGGUGGCGUUUUAGCUCGGGGCGAGCUAGUGCCAACCUCGUGCGUCCUGGCAUACGACAGCCCACGCUUCGGUGAAUCAAGGCUCGGGGGGCCCCCCUUCCUCCUACUGCUCCAGGGAAGCAGUACUCACUCCCUCUGCUUGCAGGUAGUACCCCUCUGCUUGCAGGUACCGCCAACUUGUGUAACGGGUAGUCACUCUCCAUCUCGUCUCUUUUGCGAACGAUUGGUAAGGGAACAACGCAGAUAACAGCUUUAUCCUCCGUCUUUUCCUCUUUUUGUUCUCUAUGACCCAUUUCUUCUUCUUCCUUGCAUCUUACCCACUCUGAACUCCCCUGAGGCCUCAAUUCUUCCCUGACCCUUCCUCCUUCCUGCGCCCUCCUCCCCAUCCCUGCACGCUCUGCCGGCACAGGCGCGGGGCGUCCACCGCAGAAGCCGCAUCUCCGCUUCUUCCACACGCACCUGCCGCUGGUACUCCUCGUACCGGGACCUGUCGUACGCGCCCAUCGCGAUGCGCUGCUCGUCGGAGCCCAGCAGGCCCAGAUCCUGACGGGAGGUGGCGACGGACCUGGCGCGGCCCAGGUAGUCAACGGCGGGGCCAGCGGCGGCUGCCGGUUGCUGCUCAUGCCGCGGAAGCCUGCGGAGAAAGCGUGAGGGGCUAUGAGGACGAGGUGGCCUUGUGGGAUGGGUGAUAGGAGCACCGGACAGCCCCAGAAACAAGAACCCAGGCAGGUACAGAUGGAAAGGCUGGCGGCAGGCCUACCCAUAAAGAGAGGUUAUGGGCGUUUCAUGGGUACGGCGGCCACAGGCCAGCACACCCAACCCACCGCUCUACUCCCUGAAGGAGCUGCAGGACCUCCUCCGCUUCCUCUUCCGUCGCCGUAGUCGUCGCCGGCGCGGCGGCUCCGAAACCACCCUGCGAUGUCGGUGGCGCCGAUAGCGGCCGCGACUGAGACUGCUGCUGCUGCUGCUGUCCCUGUCCACUCCGGCGAUACAUGGCUCCCACAUACUCCUGCUGUUCCGGCAGUGACGCCAACACCGCCGCCGCCGGGGAGCCGUAAUAGGCGCGGGCGCUGUAAAGUCCCCCCCCGCCGUCGCCGCGCGACGGCCCCGCCGAGUCGUACACGCCGCCAGGGCUGGCGCUGGCGGGUCGUUGGAGACGCCCCGGCGAGUGGCUGUAGAGGCUGGGGUGUGGCGGCGGCGGUCCGAAGGCCCCUCUGCUGUAUGCUGAAGCGCUGGUGCUGUAGUAGCCGACGCGAGAAGGCGAGCGGGAUCCGGAGCGGGUGGGUCCAGGGGAGGCGCCUGGGGAGGGGGACCGGGAGCCGGUGGCAACUGCUGCUGUCAUCUGCUCGCUGCGGGCGAUUGCAUCCAGUGCACGUCGCUGGACCUGCGAAAACAGGUGGAUCGUGGACGUGGGGCGGGAAGGUAGGCUCAGGAAUGAAAGGCCGCAGACUGGAAACCUUGAAGCGCACGUCUUGAAGCUUCAAGACGCAAUAAUGAACGCCAUGGCAGAGUCGCACAAGGCGCAACCCAAGCACCCAACCCUAGCUACCUACUCUUCCUCCCGCCAACACUGCGGCAGCAGUCUGCCACUAACCCACCACCCCACACCAAACCACCCAGCCGCCACGCCAUCCGCCCACCUGCCGCGUGGCCUGCCGCAGUGUCUCCCCCUCCUCCUCCAGCUCCCGCAGCCUCGCGCGACCCGCCUCACGCGCUGACGCCAGUCUGUCCACAUCCGCCGCAAGCUGCUGCGUACUGGGACUGCCGCGUGGGGAGGCGUAGUACUGCCGGCGAGCCUCCGCUAUCGCGGCCCUGAAGGUGUGGGAUUAGGAACACCAAAAGGGAAAGCGAGCUCAGACGUUGGGAGGGUUUUCUAAUGUGUACAUGAUAAAAGGGGCAUUGCUAGAAGGGGCAUUGCUAGAAGGGGCAUUGCUAGACAGAGGUGUGCGCGGGAAGUGGGACGGGAAGGGCGAGUUAUAUUAUGCAAGUUGCAGAGGAGGAGAGGAAGUUACGGGGAAGGGACGGAGGGUGGCCAGGAGGUGACGUGAGGGAGCCGUGGCGAGGUGCAGGACGGUGACGAGGAGCAAUGGCACUGUGGGCACACGGGAGAGGAGCUGAGACAGCGAGAACUAGAGAGCAGCGGAACGCGUCCCUGGCCCCCUCCGGCAGCCCCCUUUCCUUCCCACUGCGUUUCCCACUUUCUUUCCUUUUCCCCAACCUCCCCAUUCACCCAUCCCAUAUGGACCUCGCCACAACCCAGGGCGCAUACCUCGCCUUCUCCUGCCACAGCUUGCGUCGCUCGGCCUGCGGACCCCGCGAGACCCCGCGAGACGCGACGGACCAGACACGGGGGUGAAUCCUAUGAACAAGUCAAAAAGAGAUAGCUUCCGGCCGACAAAGGGGCUGGGUGGGAAUCAUAUGCAAGAACCGAUUGGCACGGGUGGAAUGGGGAUGGGAAUGACGUUGGGAUGGGGGAAGCCGCGCUAGCGGCAGGCGGCCGGGUAUUUUAACAGGCUCGUCUCAGAAUUGGUCUCUUCAGCCCUGGAGGGAACUCGACAGUCGGCCUAGCGGAGGUGCACACACAACCCCAUUCGGUUUUACCCAGCUCUGGGCCCGCUAGCCUCUUCAGACUACAUAGGCAUAUUGCUUGGGAGCUUGGGGAAGGAAAAACACACACGUGCGCACACGUCACGUGGGUUGGGCUUUCCCUGGACUAAACUGCUGCUUUCCGGUGCUACAUCUGCAAUCUCCCCCCCCCUCAAACCCAACCCGCUGCCCCCUCCCUCUUGCGGCAAUCCCCAUCCCCCUCUGGCUUGUUCGGCCUGUGCUGCCCGUCCAACACACAGCGCAGCACACAUACGCAAGACAUCACGCAUAUAUGACACGCACAUCACACAUCAUGCACGCACGUUUAUGCACAGCACGCCCCCACACGCAUAGCAUACGCAGCGCACGCGCACACAUACUCAGAUACACAGAUACACACCGCACCUCCAGCUCCCUCUCCUGCGCGGGAGAUCGAGCAUAGUGCUGCUCCGCAAUCGCCGGGUGCGCCUCGUCAAAGCUAAAGCACCGCUGCUGCAGAGGAGCAUGUGCGCCGAAGGAGCGCGGCUGCGAGAAACGGUAGUCGGGUACGCCAUGGGCCUCUCGGUGCUUCCGGAGGCGGUACCUGGCGCGGGGUUCAGCGGGGUCGAGGAGAGGGGUUUCCAAGGGAGUGCCGUAAGAACCCGAUAGCGACAAGGCCCCACCGAAAACCCGAGAAACGAACGCUCAUCCCCCUGGGGGACGGGCCUUGGUGAAACAGAAGACAGAGGGUAGGACAGACAGUGGAAGCCCUCGCAGCGGCGGAGAUAGCCGCCACGGCAAAAAAGCCGUGGCACUCGAAUGCGGCGGAGCUGGGAGGGGUGUCGGUGUGUCGGUGUGAGGCGCAAGAGGCUUUUUUCAGGAGGAAAGGACCAAGCAAGCAAACAGGAUCAAGAUAUACUGUAGUAGCGAUGAGCUUUACGUGCGCGCAUGUCGUCAGCUGAAUUUGACUAUAAACAGGAAUAUGCAUAGAGAUUGUGUGGGACCUGGUGCCCCACAGCACCUUCCUACACCCCACGUUACCCUCCUCCAGUUUCUGUCCACAGCCCAGCCCUCCAUCUUCCCCCGCCUGUCCAGCCCUCGGCGAACAGAACGAGGCACUUCCUACACUGCCGGGUGUGACUUUACCGAGAGGCCCUUCAGUCGGGGUUCCACCCUCCCCAGCCCCACAGAACACACAUCACCACCAUGACCAUGACCAUGACCAUGACCAUGACCACCACCAUGACCAUCACCGACCUCCACAAUUCACCGCACUCACUGUCCAUAGAAUUGCUCCGAAACAUCCGAUGCACGAGCUCGGUUACCCAGGUUUGGCGACUGCGACCGCACGCUAUGUUGAGCUCCGGGAGAGGGCUGCGGCGAUUCCCCGGGCCCAGGCGACCGGGAAGCCUGGUGACGCUGCUGCGGUUGUAGCUGCAGCUGCGGUAGCUGCUGCGGCGACCGAGCUUGCUCCGCUGCGGCUGCGGCCGCCGCGGCUCCCUCUUCGCGGUGGGUUGCGCCUGGGCUCCGCACCGGCACCCCCUCGCGAUCAAUGCCUGGGUCAUUUAGCAUCAGUGCCACACGUGUCGCCUCAUCCACAUCCUCCAGCCUUCGGUACGACCAUCCCGGAUGAUGAUGAUGAUGAGGAGGAGGAGGAGGAGGACGGGGAGGAAGAGGAGGGUCGCAGGGGCGGAGGGUCGAUUAACUCCAAAGUAUUCAUGUGAAUUGUGGAAUAUAAACCGCCAGUGUCCAACUAACGCACCAACUAACUGGGGCGGGGAAAGGUUCCCGCGGGAAGUGUGUGUGUGUGUGUGUGUGUGUGUGUGUGUGUGUGUGUGUGUGUGUGUGUGUGUGUGUGUGUGUGUGUGUGUGUGUGUGUGUGUGUGCAACAUCGAGAGAAAGCCCAACUGCCGACGUCCCGCGACCGCGGGGUGUGAUGGGAAAGGAAGCUGCUUCAGAUCCGGAAGAGAACCCAAAUCCCAUCGUCCCCGUUCCCUGCCUUGUAUCUACGAGGGUGAUGGGGACGGGGGGGAAGACGAACCACGGACGAGUGAAGCUGUUGCCAGGGCAAGAGUGUACCAGACGUAGAACUGACCAAAAGGCGUUCUUGAAGGCGGCGACCUCGGGAUGACGUAGUGAAGAUGAUGUCGGACAACUACCUACCUAGCGCGCCAAGACUAAAAUAAGCGCGGAAGAAAAGCAGUAAUGGGAUGGGUGGUGGUGGUGGUGGUGGUCCGGUUACGAUACGUUCCUCUCCAGCUUAUGCAUCUUACCGCAUGUUGGCGAUUCCAGACACUGGUGCCCAGGCCGGCAGCCGGGGGACCGCGGGACGGUUGCCCGUUGCACUGCCACGACCUGUCCCGCCGCCCCCGCCCGCGUCCUUACGGGCACUCGGCACUGCCGGCGGGGCACCCCGGGGAGAUGGAGCCCCGAGCGGCCUCCGCGGCGUCGCGCCGACCCUUGGGGUGCCGCCACUGCCACUGCCACUGCCACUGGCACCCGAGGGCCGGCCGGAGAUUUUGGCACCGAGGCCGCGCCGCGGCGUCGUGGAGGUUGAGCCAGCGGAGCCGCGUCCACCGCCGCCGCCGCCGACGGGAGAUGUGACCUCGGACGCCGACGGCUGCUGCUCUGAGGUGGCUGGGUCGUUGGAGGGCUGCUGGCUGGGGCUGUUGGGGCUGGGGGCGCUGGGGCUGGCGCUGCGGCUGCGGGACGCACCAUCGGGGGAGGAGGACGUGCGGCGGCGCCGGUCGCCUGCAGCCGAAAUCGCCACACGCAGCGAUGGGUGCGGGGCACGGAGAAUAAAGACCCUAGUGGCGCAGCUUUCGCGCAGUAUGGAAACAAGGGGGACUCGGGGGAAAGGUACGGCUAUGGGAGGGAAAGCCAAGGCGCCCCGCACCUUCCCCAUCCCACGCUUCCCCCCAGCCUCGGCUUCUCACGCCGCACAGAAAGACCUUCAUCCGGGUUUCAUUCCUUAACGGCCGCCCGCGCUCGGAAUGGACCUCGUCCCGUGGAACAAUGUCUGUUGCUUACCCUCCCACAGCCUGCCCAGCCCCUCCUUUGCUCCCCCCCAGCCGGAACCCUGCCGCCUCUGCUCCCCACCCUACCCCCCCCACCCUCCACCGUGUGACCGGCGGCCAACCCCCCAUCCCACCCCACCACACACCCCGGCUCACCCGUCACGGCCGUCAGCCCGGGUCGUCUGAUGGGGCCGCUGACAGGCACACCCGAACGGAAGGGCGGCUGCUGUAUGGUAGGGCUCCUGUCGUACGACCGACGCGAGGGUGUCGUACCAUAACUGACCGAGGACCUACAGCAACGGGCCAUGAGGUUGAGGCGGAAAGCGUGAAAGCGAGGGGAUUGAGGACACUUCCUGAACGUCAAGGACAAUUUCACAUCAGAAAUGAAGGGAGUUUGUGUGGUGCUAAGCUAAUCCCCACAAACUGUGGAAGUUGAGAAGGGCUCCCUGGAGCAGGAGUACGAAAUAGUACGAAGAAAAUAGAACCCAGAUCCCGGAUCGGGACAGAGAUCGGGACAGGUUAUCAAUUCAAAUCGGAACCAAAAGCCCUCGGGGGCUAUGUGUCUGAGCGCCUGUCGCGAGCCAGGAGGCCCCGCUGCAGCUCCAGUGCGCACUUAAAUGUCGGAAAAUCCGCCCGGUCAUACCUCCAUUCCCAUCCUCCCUCCUUCCCUUCUCCUUUCCUCCUUUCGGAGUCGUUUGGCGGCGGCGCACCAGGGAAGUUUGGCCAGUGGCGACGGGGUGGUGUUUGUCCUUACCGUAUUCGCCAAGCAUGUGGCGCACAUCUGGGCAUACUGCCCGUUACGUGUGUUUGAUGUAAGCGCGUCUGACGUAAGCUGACGUCCCUAGCCCAACCUGGAGCACGGCGUGAAUCUUAGCCGUAGCCAACUCCAGAGUCGUCACAGGCGCCAAUCCAGAUCCAGAUCCAGACCCAGAUCCAUUUUUUCUUCCUCCCUUCUCCCUCCUCAUAUACCGGUUCCAGCAUCAUUGCCGCAUGCCUUGUGGCCCUGUUCAUCUCCCCCCCACCGCCACUUACCUCAGUGGAGAAAUCCCGGUGUCAGGACCGCCGCUGCUGCCGCCACCGCCGCUGCCGCCGCUGCGGUCGCGGCGGUACCCAUAUCCAUCGUAGGAGUAGUGCUGGGCGCUUUCCGCGUCCGGCGUGUACGGUUCAGGCGAGGAACCGCCGCUGCCGCUGCCGCCGUCACCGUAGCCGCCGCUAUCCGCACCUACAGUACAGGACACCACCGCGUGGAUCCGGCUUAAAUCGGGGGCUGGGCUCAGGUUCACGUCAUGAUGCCAUUAUGUGUCAAGGUUGGAGGUCUGCAAGGGAGUUGGGAGUCCAAGGCAGGACUUCGAUCGUGCCAGGGUGUUCGUCUGCUCACCUGUCGCCUGAUAGGCCACGCUAGGCGAGGAGUCGUAGAAGUCCAGUGGUGGAGGAGGCGAAGACGGGCCGGGAGGCGGGCUGUACGCUCCUCGAGAUGCAUUGCCAUAGGAGUAUGGGGACUCUUCAGCUGGCAAGGGGGGGAGGUUUGCCGGGGGACGGCGCGACGGUGUCUUACUACUGAUAACUACAUGCCUGACUGGCGGGGUUAGAGACGCACGUGAACGGAGAGGUUUCCUUCGCCUGUUGGCACAGAAUUGAUAGACACAAAGCAAACAAGUUUGCCAUCUCACCAGCGCGACGGCGAGGUGUCGGCGAGCUGGCAUCCUCGACCAAUAAGUCACGCGCGUUGGGUGGCAAGCCCGACGGGACGGGCGUGUCAAAUUCAAAGAAAUCAUCGAACUCAGGAGUGGGUUUGCGGACUGUAGCCUCCGCGGGUCUCACGACUUCUCCUUGACUGCGUCGCUGAUCGAUAGCCUGCGCUUUCGCCAACCGGCACGGUAAACGUUUACUAGUCAAAUCUACAAUCUCGCCAUGCAGUCGCAUAAGCGAUGCACUUUGCACCUGUAAGGACAAGCUUACACAUGGCUAGCUGGGUUCACUUACCUGCAACGAUCCCAUGGUCGCCAGAUCAUCAGCCCCGAAAUGACGGAGAACUGGGUUCCUCCUGCCAUACAUUCCUGCUUAUUCUCACAGCUUGGCCUCUGGUUGCCUCGGUCAACAGCACUUGACAGCUAGCUUACAAAUCUCAAAAAAGGCAUUCUUAACGACUAGUUCAUAUCAUAUGUGGAAUUUAAUCCUGUUCAUCAUUUGGGGUUGUGACUAAUCAUAAGGUGUCGUUGUGCUCCCAGUAAGCUACUCUAUGCGAGCAUAACCCAGCUACGUCAAUGGACGCUUAUGCAAUGCUUUAUCGGCUAGACAGCCAAAUGCCCUUCAUUUUGUCUUUCAGCCCAAGUUGCGCCGAUGGAUGACUUCCCCAGACUGUCGAUGACGUACGACAUCCGUAACACUGCAAUGCGAUACAUGGCCAUGCAUAAUUGGUAUAAUUUAAUUUUACGAAUAGGACUUUUAAGAAAGGGAAGUCCAAAGGUUAGCGGUGAGGACUUCUCUCCAGACGCGGCUCGCUGAGCCGCCGUGGCGGGCGUCGGACCCGAAGUUUCGGUUAUGGAGGCUAACAUGGCCUGGCGCCAGGAAUCAUUCGCUUAAGAACUUGUUGAAAAUUGAUUAUACUGACGACGCUAAAUAUACAUGAGCGCCUUCACGCAGCACCUUGUGAGGCUCCGUCCAGAACCAUACAGCAUGCAGCCAUGCCAUCGUCGCACCACGUCAGGCACGUGCCGAACCCGAAUGCGGAGAGCUGCUGGGCACGCGAGGCUGCUAAGGAUAAGGCCCCGGAUGCCCGUCUGCCUGAUCGCCCAACCCCGGACUAGCCUAGCUUUGCAAGUCCACCCAGGUCCACCUCUUCAACUGCGAUGACACGUGCUAACCAAGUGCAACCCUUCGCCACGUUACAUGAAGUCUUUGAUCAUUUCCACAGCAUGUCAAACAACUUUACGCAUCUCUCUUGAUGUUAAGGUGCCGCAACAGGCCCCAGCCCCCACAGCUAUGGAGGCUGCUGACACAGCCCUUGCCCCUGCACACACAGCAGGUGGAAAUGUUGACCAAAUGUGUACAUGACGUCAGCAGGCAUCCAUCCGCAACUGGGUUGGCAUUCAGCGGGGGGAUCUCGUCCGAGCUUGUUGCCUGCCGUCGCGGCAGCUAUCCACAAAGAGCGCGCCACCACCAGUCGCUGACAGUUGCUCCUGGCAGUAGAUGCCACCAGUAGAACUUCUCGUAGUGUGUGCGCGCGCUAAUGAUCAUCACUCGUUGGUAUUGAACACGCAAUAAACAGGUAAGGGCUCGUACUGCUAUAAAAUACGAGUGUACAAACUACAUAUGCCGUACGUACUUCGGAAGCCAUUAAAAAGCCAAGGACGAGAACGACAGAAGAUAUUGUUCCAGCCCUGCGAGCAGCUAUUCCAACGUAUUACAGGAUGGCUCCCCUUAGCUUGAUGCUCCUACGCUGGCUAAGUCGUGGAUUACAUGUGAGAGGAGGCAUGUCUCAUGACCCUUGGCCACGGCAGAACUAUGGAUAACCCAGAGCCAGGCGGCCAACACACGCGCCUUGAGUUUUGCUUUUGAAUGCUUCCAACCACCAUCCCAACCUCGUCUUCAUGUCGCGUCGUUUGUGAACCGCACUUGAUUACCCUCUUGGUGAACUAGGGACUUCACGGAUGAAAGCUCAAUCACGGCAACCUCAGAGUAUAGCUGUACAAACAUAGUGACUGUCAGCCAUCAAAGCUAUGAUCUAUGCUCGCAACCACGCAAAAAUUGCGUUCUGUUUGCCUUAAUUUACAGUCAAAACUAACCACUAACUGCCAACUGCCAUAAGACGGCCGACUACGGUAUUGCUACCUGUUUCCCUCUGUGAGGCGAAGAUUGGUUUUGAACUCCUUUCCUACUUGGGGUGGGCUCGCUGGUAGACAUUGCAGAAGCUAUCGCGUAUACGGCGGUAAAAGUUCUUUUCGAAUCAGGCACAGGAUUCAAGGCCAAAAUCAAGCCAAUGUUUGGGAUGUUGUCUAUGUUGGUAGAAGUGCUGAAGAGCUUCUCGUAAUAAGAGAAACACGCACCAACUUCUGAGAUGUCGGGUUUAAGCUGGUGACUCCAGAGCUAAAGCUAACGUGUAUUCUGUCCUGAAAACAUUUCGCACUUAAUCCUGCUAGGUGAAUUACACUAGGGACGUCGGGCCGCCUGAUACUGAUCUCCGAUACUUGCGCACCUUAAACACGGCUUUAGUGCCCUUCAAGCAAAGAUACCCUGAGCGCCACAACUUCAGCAACGAAGUCUUAGGUAUUCAGCACGGGAUGAGCAGGUCGCAGAGCAGGUCCCCCAAAGACGAUUACGGGCGCUGGGGUGAUCCCGACGACAAUCAUCAUAGCAACAAAGCAAGCAAACGCUUGCGCGACGAACGCUCUCGCAGCCGCAGCCGCGACCGUGUGGAACGCCGCAGGCGUGACAGGGCCCCGACAGGGCCCAGCAACCACAGCCAGAGUCGCAGCCGAAGCCGAAGCCGAAGCCGAAGCAGAGGUCGGGAGGGGCACCGUAGCGCCGCCUCCUACGGCCGAGACGACGGCAGGGACCAAGGUCGGGAGCGGGAUCGCAGCAGAGACCGGCUCCGCGACCGAGAUCAGGAACGACGACAUGGGGCGCCCGACCAGCACCACCGGGACCGAGGCCUGCACCUGGACCGGGACCGGCGUCGUGACGCCGACCGCAGCCGACGCCGCAGUCGUAGCCGCAGCCGUGAUCGCGACCGCAGGCGCUGGGGUUCCCCCCGGCGUGGCGGCGCUGCAGGUGGUGAAGGUGACGGCCGAGGCGCAGAGGGGGCUGCGGCAGGGGCUGGUGGAGGCGGAGGUGGCGAGGAGCCACCGCCGCGUCGGCGCCGCUGGCGGAGCCCCAGCCCUCCGCCCGUACCUCCCGUGGUGGGUGGCGAUGCUGCCGGCGAGGAGGGCCGCUGGGGCCGCGGCGGCAACGGCACCAGCGGCGGCGCAUGGAACAACCCACCACCGCCGCCGUCCCUCCACUCUCAAGGUGCGCGGAUCUGAAAUCUAAAACAGAACAGUUCCUUCCCCAAGCCCCCCUUCCCCGGAGGGACCCUGUUUCUAUCUCGUGUGGAAACGAGCAGCACGGUGACACUACCGCCGAACGGUCACAUUCAAGACCGCCUAUCUACCUGUCAGCUAUGUAUGUAUGUCCUCCUCGCUAUGCCGGUGUUGGAGAAACCCAGCACUCUUCCCCCUGCCUGGGUGACUUCCCCUCUAGGACGCUCUUCCCCCCCUCCCACACUCACGUACACACACAAUCAUACACACACCGGGGUGUGGGCCCGCCAUCGGGAUGCGACUGCAGCUCCGGGUCCCACUGAUUCCCAGUCCCAGUGGAUAUCCCAAUCCUAAUCCUGUCUCUGGUCCUAUUUCCCCGCCCCCACCACACACUCACACACACACAUACACACACACACACACACACACACACCGGCUCCCGCUGCUGUCUCAGGUCGCGGAGCAGCCCCGCCGGUCCCCCAGUCCACGGCGCCCCCGCCGGUGGGCUCCGUGCACCGCGGCACCGUACACACCAUAAGGCCCUUUGGGGUGUUCGUGGCGUUACCGGGUUUCCGUCGCCACGUGAUGGUGCACAACACGCAGGUGGGUGGGAGGGCGGAAGGGAGGAGGUGGCGGUGGUGGUGAUGAUGAUGGUGAUGGUGGCGGGGAGCCGGGGGAAGCGAGGGGGAGAGGAGGGGAAGGGACAUAGGUGGAAUUGCUAAAAGUGAGAGAGAGAGAGCUCGGGGCCCAAAACGUGUGUUGUGGUUUACGAAAACGGAGAAGAAUAAAAAAGAAAAAGAAGGUAGACCGUAAUAAGGAGCGAGUAGCGAGUCGGAGAUGGAGGAGACGUAGAGAAAGAAGUUGUUUUCAAGUCGGUGUCCCUCUGCCCCUCUGGCCCUCUGGCCCUCCCCCUCCCCUCCGGAGCCAGGUCAGUGACGAGCUGCGGUUCAAUCGGGAUGACGACGAUGAGGCCAAAGUGAAGGCCCUGGAGUUCUACUUCCCGAAGGGAGAGCAGGUGGGACGGCGAGCAUUUAGUGUGUUGUUAUAUACAUGAUGCCCUGCUUCUUCUCAAUCCUCAGUCCCCAAUCCCCUUCCCCGCUCGUUCCCGUAGGUAUGGGUCAAGAUCACGGAGGUGUCCCCCGACGAGCGAAACCCGUCGGAGGUGCGAGUCAACGGCAGUCUGCGGGCGGUGGAUCAAACCACGGGGGCGGAUCUGGAUCCGGAGGGGCUUCUGGCGGGGGAACAUCACCACCAGCAGCCGGGAGGCGGAGGAGGAGGCGGAGGCCGGGGACGAGGUGCGGGGGAGUGCGGGGUACAGUGUGGUAGCGUGCUGUGCUGUGCUGUGCCGGGUGCUGUCUGGGGGGGUGUGAACUGGUGGUUGAAGUGGUUUUCAGCCAGAGACCCCUCAGACCCAUCCCAGUCAUUGGAUGGGCCUUACCCGGGGGUGGAGGUGGGGUCAGAUGGAGAAUACCAAAUGAGGAGCCAGAAGGAAAAUACCGAAUCCCGAGGGAGAGAAAUUGCAUUGCUGGCGUCCAAAGGUACCAACCAACGUUUUGGGGGGGUGGCACUGGUGGGAUUUGAGAGCUGCUUCAGGACAUCAUCACAAUCAUCACCGGCAGUAGCGGCCCUAGGGAACAGUUCCCCAAGCCAGGAGGGUGUCUGGGUUUGAUGCGGCGUCUAACUGACUCGCACACCAAUGCCACGCCACGGCACACACACACACAUACACUCACUCACUCACCCGCACUCACCCCCCUCUCGUUCAGGUGGCCCCGAAACCGAUGAGCCGCCAGAGGUGGGCUCCGUACACAGGGCCGUUGUGAAGCGGAUCGAGGCGUACGGCGUGUUUGUGGCGCUGGUUGGGUAUCGUCGUCACGGGCUGGUGCACACGAGUCAGGUACGGAUGUACGGAUGGAGGAUACCACCGGGGGUUGGGGGGGAAAUGAGACAUUGAGACACCGAGACGGUCAGAGGGAGGGAGUCGACGGAGCGGGAGGUACGUCUGGCUCGGUUAGCCGAGAAGCCCACGAGCAAUCACCAAAACCGCGUUAGAGCGCAUAUCUUAACGCUGAUGCUGCUACCCAGGUUUGAGCUCCUAAGGGGUUCAGUUCACAGUGUAUUACCGUUAGUUAGUUAGCCCGAUCUCCGUUCUUGUGCAGUUACCAUUGUCAGUUUUCGGUUGUUACUACAUCGGCAGGUAAGCAACUACCUGAGCUUCAGUCGGGAGGAUACCGACGAGCAGAAGAAGGCGGAGCUGGGCGGUGUGGUGACGGUAGGGGAGCAGAUAUGGGUCAAGGUGCGCGGGUGGGCGGGCGGGUGGGCGGGAGGGUGGUGUCCAUGGGUGUGUUUGUGUGUGUGUGGGUGGGGAAGAGGUACAUGGGCUGCCAGCGCGUGUUGUCCGUGGACCGGCUAGGCGUGUGUGCUUCAGAGGACUGAGCCGCGGGCAGGAAGUGGAGACUAAGUGGCAAACGGGCAACUGUGCUGAAGGAAGCCUUAGUCAGCUGAAGUCUGUUUGCGCUUGUUUUGAUAUAUAUACAUGUGUGUGUGUGUGCGUGCGUUGUCCGUAUCGGUCAGUACCGAGUGGUUAGCAAAGAGGCCGCCGCCGCUCCGCUGCAUCGCUUUUUUCAACCCACUAGCUAAACACCCCGCGACACUCUCCGCCACCUCUCCCGCCCUCCUUCAAGCGGCCCCCCCCCCGGUCCCAUCGCGUUGCUCUGGACAUGCCGGCAGUCGAUCCUUCGCCUCUUGCAUCGUUGUACGAUUUCCCCCUCGUCUCCCCCCAUCCAUCCAUCCCCCCUCCCCGCGCCCGUGGGCUCCCUGGAUCAGGUGGUUGAGGUGGCUCCGGAUGAGGGUCGCGGCGGUUUUAAAAUCGGGUGCUCCAUCAAACUGGUGAACCAGGCCGGUGGGGAGGACCUGGACCCCACAAACACACGGUGCGACAGCGGAGUGGUCUGGGUGAAGGGAGGGAGUGAGGGAGGAAGGGGUACACUGAUGGAAGGCACUGUAGGAGUCGUCGUCCGGUCGGUGAGGAGGACUUCGCGGUGGGAUAGGAUGCGGCUGUUUUGGCAGUCUGGACGGGGGAGAUGGCGGGGGAGAGACGGGGGAGAGCACUCGUAGGCUUUGUGUUUCUUUGUGCCCCUUUGUAUUCCUCCGUUUUAUUCCUUUUUCCUUUGUGAGUCGAAUCACAGCUUACCACCGUUAGCGGGGUGGUGUUUCGUUGUGGGGUGUGUUGCUCCCGCGCGGCCUUGUGUAGGCCGUUCCGGGCCCUUCACUAUCCUGACCUGACGCUCUCCUGCUGCGACCCCGCCUUGGCCUUGGCCGCCUGUCCUGACGCUGCAGGUACCGGCCGCGUGAUGCGGGCGGUCGGGGUCCUGGGGCUGCUGCUGGGGCCAUUGGUUCCGGAGCGGGCGAGGUGGGGCGAGGUGAGGUCGGGUAGCGGGCCGAGUAGGGCUGAGGGGCCGAUGGGGGCCCCGGGACUCACUCCACCAACAGGGACUGGGGUCGGAUGCCGUGAAGGAGGGAAAGGAAGGAAGGAUGAAACAGCUUUUAGUAAGUUUGAGGUUCCAUUGCAGUACCGCAGUAAAGGGUUCCUCAGUCCUCAGUAAUGCCUCCUUCCCUUUUUCCUCCUCCUCCCUCAUCUUACGCUUGCGGCACACACACUUACACACACGCGCGCGCACGCACAUGUGGGCCGUCAGGCGGCAAGAUCGACUGGGGCCAUCUGGCAGCGGACACCAAGCUGUACGUCAACGAGAAGGCGGCGGCGCAGUACAAGCUGUUGGAGGAGGAGGCGCCGCCACGACUCCCCGGGGCCCCGGGGGGAUCGGGACCGGGGCCAGGAUCGCUGCCGGGGUUGGGGGGAGGAGGAGGAGGUGAGCCUGGAACGUCAGUGGCUGCGUUUUGGGCAAGCUGUCCGUGCUGCACAAGGUCCUCUGUCUCCUACGCGAUUCGAAGCAAGCACUAGGGUUUGGUGUUGGUGUUGGUGUUGAUGCACCAAUGGUUAAUACUCGCUGAAAGCAGGGCAGGGCAGGGAUCGGGCAGGCACGGUACGGGUCAUCUUGAGUUCGGAGUUUCGGGAGCGUCCCUGAGGGGAUUUCGCGAUGUCGGAUUGGAGUCCUGUUGCGGAGUACGGCAACAGGCAACGGUUGGUACGGCAACAGGAAUUCCGGGGAAGAACUCCAUCUUCGGGCACCCCCCCGUGCCCCAACCGACACCCCCAACACCGACUUUGUUUACCUUUAUCCACUCAGCUCCGCCGACCAACUCCCCCAGCCACUACCACCCACCCACCCACCCACUACCGGCACUGCGCGCUGCAGUCCUUCCGCGACGGGAACAUUGUUGAGGCAGCAGCAGCAGCACUAGGCAGAUAUGUACACACACACACGUGCAUUGCCCCAAAGUGAAAUUGUUGCUCCAUGGACCGCCGUGCGCCAUUAGGUGGUCCCCAAGGAACCCUAAACAAACCCGGUUCAGGUAUUGGAAGUGUAACUCACUACCUUCACCCCCUUCUUUCGAUAGCUUUUUUUCCUUCUUGACUUGGCAUGUUAUUUCCAAACCAUCGCCACCCGUUUCCUGUAUCCAUCCAUCCCUCCUGCCAUCCCUCUAUCCCUCCUGCCAUUCGCACAUGUUCAUGUCUUACUUACGUUGUUGCCACGGUGUCCUCACCUCCUCGCCCUCACGCCCCUAUCAGGCCCCCCUGGCUCGCACGCUCCUGGACCCAUGGGUCGCGGACGGGGCAUGGUGCUGCCGGCAUGGAUGACACAGGGCACCGCUGCCGGAGGCGGAGGCGGUGCUGGCGGCCCGGCAGCGCCCGGUUCCCUUCCGUCCAACCAGCUUCCGGCUUCGUCCAAGUUUGAGUUGGUCGGCGGGCGGGACCGUGAUGUGGAUCCAAGCAGCUUGUUGUUACAGGAUUUUAUGGAGUUUGCUGAUGGUGGCCGUGGGAGAGGAGGAGCAGGAGGAGCAGGAGGAGCAGGUGGUGGUGGUGGUGGUGGUGGGACACGGAUCAGCAGCAUUGAGGAGGCGCUUGCGAUCUUGGAAGCCCACGGCGGCAAGAAGGCCUUGAAGAAAGAUAAAAAGGACAAGAAGAAGAAAAAGGAGAAAGACAAAGACAAAAAAGGCAAGAAGGAUAGGAAAAGGAAGAAGAAGAAAAGCAGCAAGAAGUCGUCGGGCGGCGAACGGCAGCGAAGCGGCCACGGCAGCAGCAGCAGCAGCAGCAGUGACAGUGAUAGUGGCAGCAGUAGUGGCGAGGAGGACGGCUCGAGGCGGUAUCGCCGCUGAAAGCACGAAUAAGCAAACCCGGGGCUAGCAGUAAAGGGCCCGUUCGUGGAUUAGGGGCCUGUAGCCGCCACGUGCACACUUCUGAACCCGGUCCAUGUGCGCAUCUGUCUGUAUGUGAGUAGUUUCGUAUGCAGCAUGGUGCGAGGUAUGGUGAUGAUACCGAGGUAGGUGGUUCGUUUGUUGGUUCCUUUGUUUUCUUUUCCUUGGGCCCCAGCGCCUGCCUGAAAGUGUGUUUGUCAGUCUGUGAUGGCUCUCAUGCAGUGUGGCCUGACUGACUGUUGCUGACUAGCUCCCUACGACUCCCCCGAUUUCGAAAUGGAAGUCAGUGCAACUGGAAGUUCUGUUUGGGUUGUCAUUUGCUUACGAACUACGACUAUUUUCUCUCGUUCUGUGUUCAUAGGGGUUUUGGAUGGCUUUGCCUUUCCAUUUGCAAAUGCCGCAAAAUGGUCCCCGGAAAGCAAGAAGGUUCAUCAUCAUGCGUCUAAGCGUCCUUGAUGUUGAUGAAAGCCUUCUGACGCGCGCUCGACGGAUACCAUAGUAGCUUUGACGUGCAGCUACUGUGACGCCUGUGUAUUCGCGAAUCACGAAUUUGCAUCCCCAGGUUUUGUUUUACCGCGGGUUUCCGUACUCGUACAAUAUAGGCAAUGACGGCGUUUCCAUCAAAACCACACAUGGCAUGACGUCCUUGCGGCGUAUGUGACUUCAUGUGACUGCAUCGGCCAUUUCUGGUGGGCGAGAGAGUGGAGUGUGAGGGCUCGGUGCUUCAGACACUCUUCCUGUUGCCUAACCAAGCAAACCCCACCGAGUCGGACGCAUAUGCGCACAAUUGAAGCAGCCUCGGCAGGUAUUGAGGCAACGUGCCACCGCCGUGUCUCGUGCUUCCGCCGUGUUUUGCCACCUUGUUCAGGAAGGCUACCGUACCAAUUACGUAUGACAAUAUUUGCUGGCGGUGUGGAUUAGCCAUGUCGGUGACGCUCGGGUCGUUUGGGUAUACUGGCGACGUAGGAAAACCGAACUUCGAACUGGGUAACAAUGGACUUGCAAGCGUGAAGCCUCCGCCCCUUCUCUGCUCGCUCCCUCCUACCUAGACAUCACCGUCGCACCUCUCUAUGGGAAUGGGACUACCGAACUUGGCCUACGGAAAGCCCUACCCGCUCACGGGCGAAAAGUAUUUGGCUGAGUUGGGGGUAAAGGGGUGGACUUGGCGAGCUGUGUUUUACCGUGGCGUCGGAUCUGGCUGGCAUGUGGGCUGAGAGAUGGCAGCCACCGCAGAGCGCCUUCCCCAGCGCCAAAAGGUUUGGAGGACAAGUGUUCAGGAAUGUGGCGCAACGUCUGGCUUGUAAGUAAUCGUGCAGGGACUUAGUGACUUCGUAUGGCAUAAUGGGUCGUAUCGUUAGCUAGGUCGUGACUUUGCAUUAUGUAUUAAUGCUUUGAAUUGUACGGCAUGUUCGCCCGUUUUCGGCACGGUAUUCAGGCACGGAUUAGUUCACACCUGGUCUUGUCGGCUGAGCCGAGUAAGGUGAUCGGCGAGUCAACUUGCAGUGGUGAUUGACACGACGCUUCCUGGGACUGGCCCACAGGAUCUCGCGUCGCAGCAGGCCAUGCUCUGUUAGCUCCUUGACAGGCGACAGCAGCCUCAACUGGCUGUCUGCGUCGGAGACUGUUUCGAGCUGGCUUGUUUUUCAAGGCCAACCACGUAUACAGCGUAUGUCACCUACUGCAGUUUUCAUAAUCCGGAGGAUACUGAAGUUUCCCGAUUGACCGCACCUCGUGCUGCGUUGUUCAGCUCCGGCGGGCAAAGAGUAAGGUGAAGCAACAAUUACCAGCAAGACAUUCGACGUGCAAAGCCAUUAUAAUUGCGACGGCUCCAGGAAAAUCUGUCACACAUUCCUUCAGUCGUGAUACGUGCGGGUCCAUGGUUCCAAGUGCUGCCGUCAGCGGCGUUAUCGCAGCUGCCGCCUCGACCGCGGCCGCCGCACCCAAGCGCGACCCUGACUCGGCUGUGGCUCUGCUUCACGCCGCGGGUGACGACCAGGAGGCUCUCGCCGAGGCGAUUGCUGAGGCGGCCUUCCUGGACACCACACCCGGGGACCACCGGCAGAAGCUACGGGGUGAGGGCUCCCGGACCUGCCCGGAGAGGGUAGCCGGUGCCUUCCACCGGGUAUCAAUUUCUCUAGGGGAGCAACUAAAGCUAAAAUCCUUCCUGGACGGCGCCUUUUUGAGCGUUGAAUGAAAGUCCUGUUGCCUUAUUUGACGCGGUCCCGUCGUAUGGGUUGCUCACAUGGAUGCAAGAGCCCUCAAAUACAAAAUGCACUUAGUGCUUCUUGCGCCGAACGUGACCGAGGGGAGCAACUAAAGCUAAAAUCCUAGGGGAGCAACUAAAGCUCUCUUCUCUAGGGGAGCAACUAAAGCUAAAAUCCUUCCUGGACGGCGCCUUUUUGAGCGUUGAAUGAAAGUCCUGUUGCCUUAUUUGACGCGGUCCCGUCGUAUGGGUUGCUCACAUGGAUGCAAGAGCCCUCAAAUACAAAAUGCACUUAGUGCUUCUUGCGCCGAACGUGACCGAGGGGCCCGCUUCCAAGGCCUCCAGCACUCACACGUCCUGGCAACGGCGUGAGAAUUGACUAUCCAGGUUCUGUUGUGCUGCUGUGUGACAGCGGCGCGCGCGCGACUGCGGCAGCUCAAUGCGGCGGCGGCCAAGGCUGACAGCGCCGACCGCUCACCACACGCCAAGGCUGAAUACACUGCUGAAGACUUCGAGCGCCUGACGGGUGGGUAGUGGCGGGGAGUCGAUUGUUGAAAUGCUGCCCACUGCGGCCGACAGCCGAUGGUACAGAACAGCAACGGUAACAGUGCACGCGCCCCCCGUAUCAUAGCGCAGGAGAGCGAGCAUUAAAAGCUGACCUAUUCGCGAAGCCGCUCCACUUCCGCAUUGUGAAUCAAUUGCACGCCACGACACAAGGGGUCGGCCACACGGACGGGAAACCAUCGAUUGCUCCAUUUCCAGCAAUGCAGAGGUCGCGUAUGCGUGCCGCUGCUACCUUUCCGGCAAUGGCACGGGUUCCGAAUCCACCCCACCCCACCCCACCCCACCACCCCGAUACCCUUCCCUUCACCCAGGCCAAUACGAAAAGCUCAAUUGGCGCAUGGUCAGUAAGCCCGGAGGUGCCACCGUCAAGCCCGAUGACUUCUAUCGUCUCUACGCGCUUCACAUGCAGGUUUGUUCUUACGACUGCCUGGCUAGCUGUGCGGGCAGCCACCCCCUCCUGCCGCCUCCCUUUCAAAUCCAGCAAACGCUUGUGGAGGGAGAUAUGACGGGCAGCAAAAGGGAGUAGGCCAGGAAGAUGGGCGACAGCAGCAGCUGGUAUGAGCAAGCCACACGUGUUCAUUGAGCCGCAGGAUACCUUUUAAGCCAAACUCUUCUACACCCCCUGACGCUGCGCGCUGCCCAACCAUCCCAGCCCUUCCCCUUACCCCGCACCUUAGCGUUUGGCGCUGCCGCCAUCAGCACCCUUAGCCGGCCACCACAUCACACGUCCUGCCAGCCCUUGCCCCCUCCCUCCGAAAUUCCCAACCCGCGGACCGUCAGGCCACCCAGGGCGACAACGCCACCGAGCGGCCCAUGUGGGCGGAGCGGGGGGGACUGGACUUCGAGGGCCGCGCACGCUGGGACGCCUGGUCCGCACUGCGCGGCACGGACCCUGCCAAGGCGCAACUGCGUUUCGUGAAGCUGUUUCAUGAGUUCAGCCCGGCGGCGCUGUACAAGGACACGCGAGGCGCCGUGCUCGCGGCGGGAGGACAGUAACAAGAGUGGGGUUUUAGAGCAGGUCGAGGCCUGUUAGGUGGUGGAGAGAAGAUGACUCGGUCCGCAGGUGUGUUUGUUGGGACACACACGUGAAAAGGGAGGCGGAGGCAAAUGCACGGGAAAGGAGCUGGCACAGGUGUGGAGUUGGGACCCUCAACUGGCAAGGUCGCGGCGUUGUGUAAAAAUCGGCUAUACACUCGGAUAGGGAUAGUGUAGUGCAAGUGGGACGUUUCGUUGUUGCAACUAAGGCUGCCAUCCGACGUAUUCCUCUGCUGGUCUCAGCUUUUGCUGCGAGUGACACACACGUGAUUCUGGUAAUAUAUUGCAAAUCUAAGGGCUGACUUUCGCUUGACGCGACGAUGUGACGAUCAAAAGCCUUUCCGCCCUUGUGCCUCACCGUCCCUAUACGCAGCCGACACGUAAAGGGAAAGGAACACGCUGCGAUGCACGUAUUCCUCAAAACCUAGAGCAUGCAGUCACGUGCCAUAAACACACACACAUAUAUAUAUAUAUAUAUACGCCUCAUAACCCAAGAGUCUCAUGCACAAUGCACAGUAUCAAAACUCCCCAUCAAGACAUAUUCCCCUGGACAUAUUCUCCGCUCACUGUCCACUACCGUCAUCGCAGCGUGCGAGUGCUCUGGCCCCAUGAUGUGUGUUUCUUCUCCCCAUUCCCUCCACGUGCCGGAACAAUCAAUGGCAUCCGGCACGCGUUUAUGUCACGUGCGGUUUGCUGUGCACGCAAACACACAAACAGAGGCUAGGUACAUGUCGCGAUGGUGCGUUGCCAGCCAGUCAGAAAGCACUAAACCACACCACAGGAGAAGUGUGACACCCCGGCUGAGUGCAGUUCCUAAAGGUGAUUGUUACGGAGGACUGCCUAGAAGGUAUAGAGCCCCGUUCCUUUCGAACCGCGUGGGCCGUUGCCUGCGCCCAGAUCUUUCCACAUAAGACAAAAGCGCCCCGUGCGCCUCGAAACACAGAGCCACAGCCGCAGUCCAGCCCCUUGAGUCUAACAGCCCCCCAAUCCAGUCAACCAGUGCCCUCCAAUCUUGUAGACGGCGCUCUAAUUCCCUAAUUGCAGCCAACAGUCCGCCUAAACCCACCCGAGCCAGCACCCUAUGUGAGCCUAGCCGCCAUAUCCCCGACACCCUUUCCCUUUCACCUCCUCCUUUUCCAGAGGCUCCCCUCUUCCCCCUCCUCCUGCCUCCCUUCCUCCCUUCGUCUCUGCCUCCUAUGCCUCCCCAACCCCAGCACCGACACCCGCUCCUUAAAUGUCCGCCAGUGUUUGCGGUCGCUGGUAGUCCCAAAUGAAGAUGCCGCCCUCAGUGCCCACAGACACGAUACGCUGCUUGUCCGGCGUCACACCGAUGCCAGACACCGCACCGCUGUGCGCUACACCCACAAAGUAGCAGUGCCCCUCAUCAUAGCCCCACAGCUUGACCAGCUUGUCGCCGCCGCCGCUGACAAUGGCCUCGCCGUCGCGGUCCACAGCCAGCGCGUUGACCUCAUCACCGUCGCUGCCGUCAAUGAUGCGGAUGGCGUUGCCGUCGUAGGCGUCCCAAUACGUGAUCUGCGCAAUAGGUGGUGGUGCGUGGCAGUGGGCGGGGCCCGGCGGGAUGCGGUGUGGUUAGCCAGGCACGUGAAAGGUGUAUCUGUGUUGUUGGCAUUUUGGCUCAUGAUUGCUUGCUUUCCUUUCCUUUGCUAUUAAACCGUUCGUUCUUGGCACUGGAACACACUCGCGACAAUUGAAACUGAACCUCCAUUUUCGUUCGUUCUGUGCGUACACCUCUCCUGCCUUCGAGUUCAUUCCCCUUGGCCUACCAAGCCACUAUCAAGCUUUCCCCGCUACCUUUCGGUCGGUGCCCGUCGUGACCAGCUGCGACUCGUCUGGAUGGUAGACCACGCUCUUGAAAAAGGUGUUGGAGAAGAGGCUGGUGCGGCGCUUGUACGUGUUCAGGUCCCAGAUGAUGCACGAGCCAUCCGAGGAGGCAGACACGCACUCGUCAUCGGCGGCCUUGACGCGGAUGCAGUUGACCGGCCCCUUGUGAUCCUUCAUGGAAGCCUCCAAAGUCUAAAGGGCAUUGGGAUAGCGGAUGGGGGAUGGCUAGAGUAAAAUACACAGAUACCGGCAAAAAGCAAAAUGGUGAUCACUGACGCUAUGGGGCGUUCUUUUAGAGUUUUAAGAAGCACCAUGAAGGCCCAGCCAAGCCAAGUCCAGCCAAACCGAAAUCAGUCCAUUCAUGGAAAUACGCACGAGGUCCUUCUCCCCCCGCGGAUGCGGGUGAUGAUGAUGACUGGGUGACACAGGGCUCGAUGCGCCCCGGCCGGAGCUCAUCAUCUUGUCUCGCAACCACCCUCUGUCCAGUUCUUCCUGGCCCUGUCCCAGGCCGCUGAAGGCACCCCACCCACCCUACGGAGGGGGCCCUACGGGGUAAGAGCAGCCCGGCCCGGGGAGACCCCCUGCUGCCAGCCCCGCUCACCUGGGAGGUGCGGCCCAGCCGCCACACUCGCACCAUGCCCUCCUCGCCGCCGCUAAUGAUCUUGGAGCUGUCCGAGGUGGACGCGAUGGCCGUGACGGCCUUUUGGUGCGCGUCGUUGAUGGUGAAGAUGACCUUGCCGGAUUGGGGCCCAAACGCGCGGAUGCGACCGUCGGACCAACCCGACAAGAUGGCGGACCCAUCCUGUGGAUGAGGCGGGUGUGUGUGUGGGGGGGGGGGCAGCGGAAGCGGCGUGAGGCGGCAGUGCAGCGACGGCGUCGGCCAAGACUCAUCUCGAGGCUGAGCAAGCGCACAUUGGGCAGGUUCAACAUUGGACCCGGCGCCGUAUGUAUAAGUCCACUGUGACGAACUUGUCGAGACCCUUAUGUGUUCGGGCACUUUAAAAACCUUGUACCCUGCCCCGCCCCACAGAGCAGCCCCCCAGGCCCACACAACCGCAGUCCAAUCCCGAUACCAGCUCUCUGCUGCGCUCGUCCGCAGCCCCGGCCUCUUGAGCAAACCCACAUCCAACCCAACCCACCCACCAUCCCAUCCUCCCGCACGCACACAUCCAGCCAGCCAGCCACAGCCACCAAAUUGUCUUUUUCAACCGGUCCCCUACCCACCGUUGUGAAGGCGAUGCAGUGGCACUCCAGGUUGGGCACCGCAAUACGCAGCAGCUCGCGGCACGUGGACAGGUGCCACAGCCGGAUGAAGCCCGUGCCGCAGGUGGCGAACACCUCAGAAUACAAGUGCGGGAAGGCAAGGCCGUUGAUCUUCUCAGCGUGGGCGGUUUGGAUGAGCUCCUCCUUCAACCUGAGCCGAGAAGGGGAGGGAGCGGCGCGGGGAACGGAGGGUUUAAGCACCCUAUAACCCCUACUAGCCCUGUGUGUCACACGUGCCCGGCUGGUCGGUCCUCGCUACCGAGCAGCAGCCGCGCGGGAGGACACUUCUGGGUGGACGGGGCCCCGUGCUUCGGCGACACUGCCAUCAGCGCACCGCCGCAAACAUUCCUCCUGCCGCGCCAAUAUUCCUCUUCCGCUCCAACGCCCUUCCCAGGCAGUCUCCUCCCCGGACAGCGCGCAUUAUUCUGCCUCGCGGUGUUUACAUACUUACCUUUGUAAACCCGACAAUGUGUGGUUUGCGGCGACCAGGUUUGUGUCGAAGGAAACGCACGACCCGGGACAUGUCACGAGGGAGCGGAUCCCUGGUGCGCGGGCCCUUCUUGGUGCCGUUGGUGCUGACUAUCCCAACUAUUCAAGAAUGACAACGGCGGGUCCCAAGGUCUGAGCUACCCAUCUACCCACUCACCCGCACCCUUCCUGCUCCGUCCACAACCCCCCGUCCUUGUGGCCCCGUGUGGCCCCAUUCAGCAACCCCCUGUGGAAACCUACCAUGCACCUACCAUGCCCACUCUCCUUACCCUUGGCCCCCUUUCUUGGCUGCAUAACCCCUCCAAAGUGGACUGUGACCCAGGGCCCAUGUUUCCCCUCCACCAGUCCCCACCUGCCCGAGCCCGGUUCGUAGGUGACCUUGUAGAUGUUGCACAUGGCGGUGCCCACAUAGAAUGUGAAGGAGCGGCUGCUGACGUCCGCCAGGCUGAUGGAGGUGACGGCGCCCUCCACCCGGGUGGCCGCCACGGCGGGCAUCUUGCGGAGGAGCUUGGGGUUUGUGGAGGACGGCUCAGGUACCGUGCGGAGCACCUGUCAGGUUAGCGAGUGGAGGGGGAGGUGCAGGAUGCGGCCCGAGGCGUGAAGGAGUUGGUCAGCAGGAGGGGGGGAGGACAGGUACUAAUGUAUUAUUGCUCGUCGUGUUCGUUCUCUCUGGCAAAUGACUGCUGCCCCCCAACUUCCGUUUCUACCCUCGGUCUCUCAACCCCCGGCGGUAGUGGGCGGCAGUGCGCCACGUCCAGGCUGUCUGCCUGUCUGCACCCCCCGCCCUGCCUCCCUGUCGCUUCUGCCUCUUUUCACUCCGGGUCAUAGACGACACGCAACCUGAGGAGGGGAUUAAGCCCUCCCUAGAACUUUACAAAACAUAUCAUGUUCCCCAAUGCUGUGUUUGUGUUCAAGCCACCAGGUGCUUUUGCUGAAUGACGAAGCUGGACGAACGGAAGGGGACGCACAGCAGACCUCCCUCCUCCCUGCCCCCUCACUCCCAAAAGGGGCCACAGGGAUCCCAGUAGAGGCGCCACAUCGCCCUGAUUGCGCCACCACCACCUCCAGGUGGAUGAACGGAUGGAUGGAUGGAUUGAUGAUGCAUCGUUGCAUCCAUACGCUGGUCGGUCCCUUGGCUGGUAUGGACGUGCAUGUGGCAGGUGCGGUGGCAGGUUCGCUAAUCCUGCUAAUCCUGCUUUGGUUACCCCGCUGCUGCUCCAGUUGCGGUGACUCCUGCUCCUACACGUAUUCUGUUCUGCUAGUGGUUCUGAUGCUGCAUCCAGUUCAGCAUAAGGAGCCUAUACUUGGAUGGGAGUUGUUGAAGUAGAACAGGGGUGGUGCUGGGUGGUGCAAUGAAAUGCAGGCCACAGGGCCACAUCGUCUUCCCGGCCAGCUCAAGCUCAGGCUACGGCCUGCCUUCCUU